AUUGAACGCUGGUGGCAUGCCUUACACAUGCAAGUCGAACGGCAUCGCGGGAAAGCUUGCUUUCCUGGCGGCGAGUGGCGAACGGGUGAGUAACACAUCGGAACGUACCGGCUAGUGGGGGAUAACCCGUCGAAAGACGGGCUAAUACCGCAUACGCUCUUCGGAGGAAAGCAGGGGACCUUUGGGCCUUGCGCUAGCCGAGCGGCCGAUGUCCGAUUAGCUAGUUGGUGGGGUAAAGGCCUACCAAGGCGACGAUCGGUAGCGGGUCUGAGAGGACGAUCCGCCACACUGGGACUGAGACACGGCCCAGACUCCUACGGGAGGCAGCAGUGGGGAAUCUUGGACAAUGGGGGCAACCCUGAUCCAGCAAUGCCGCGUGGGUGAAGAAGGCCUUCGGGUUGUAAAGCCCUUUCGGCAGGGAAGAAAUCGGCGGGGCGAAUAACCCUGCUGGAUGACGGUACCUGCAGAAGAAGCACCGGCUAACUACGUG
rnacentral:rRNA from 1 species